rnacentral:rRNA from 1 species
CGGCACGGGUGAGUAACACGUACCCAACCUGCCGUCUACUCUUGGCCAGCCUUCUGAAAGGAAGAUUAAUCCAGGAUGGCAUCAUGAGUUCACAUGUCCGCAUGAUUAAAGGUAUUUUCCGGUAGACGAUGGGGAUGCGUUCCAUUAGAUAGUAGGCGGGGUAACGGCCCACCUAGUCAACGAUGGAUAGGGGUUCUGAGAGGAAGGUCCCCCACAUUGGAACUGAGACACGGUCCAA